rnacentral:rRNA from 1 species
UCUUUUAAUUGAAGGCUUGUAUGAAUGGUUGGACGAGAUAUUAACUGUUUCAGUUUAAAAUUAGGAAUUUUAUUUUUUAGUAAAAAAGCUAAAAUAGUAUUAAAAGACGAGAAGACCCUAUAGAUCUUUAUAAUUUAUGUAUUAGUUUUAUAAAGAAUAUUUCAAAUUUAAUAUAGAAAAUUAUUUUAUUGGGGCGAUAAUAAGAUUUAAUGAACUCUUAUAUAUUUAAAACAUAAAUUAGUGAAUAAUUGAUCCAUUAUUAAUGAUUAAUAAAUCAAGUUACCUUAGGGAUAACAGCGUAAUUUUUUUAGAGAGUUCAUAUCGAUAAAAAAGAUUGC